CAUAAAUUUCUAAUUUUUUUGUGCUCGAUUAAAGACUAACAAAAAAAAAACCUAUCUCAACAUGAUGUCCAACUUUGCCGGUCUCCCCGAAAACAACAAACCAUCUUCCAAGUAUGUGGCUUAUUAUGGAUUAUUAAUCGUAACUAUUUAUAAAUACACUGUAUUAGUAUAAUAAGCACAAUUUUGCUGAUAUUUUUUACUUGCGAUACACAGCUGUGAACACGAAAUUAGCAGUGCUUACACAGUUUCAAUAAAAAGUUAAAUAUUUUUAGCGUGCUGCUUUGCAAAAAAGUUUAAAAUUACAUUUUGCAUUGGGCCUCAGUCAUCAUAUCCAAGCUUCCAAAUAUAAAUUUUGUUCAUAUUUUUUUGGGAGGUUAAAGUGUUGCCUAAAUCGACAUUGCCAAAAGUUGUCAAAAUCGGACGCAAAAAGCAUUGUUCUGAAAUGUUAAUGGAAUUCAAUAAAAAAAACUUUAC